rnacentral:rRNA from 1 species
CACGUAGGCGGAUUGUUAAGUCAGGGGUGAAAUCCUGGAGCUCAACUCCAGAACUGCCUUUGAUACUGGCAAUCUCGAGUCCGGGAGAGGUGAGUGGAACUGCGAGUGUAGAGGUGAAAUUCGUAGAUAUUCGCAAGAACACCAGUGGCGAAGGCGGCUCACUGGCCCGGUACUGACGCUGAGGUGCGGAAGCGUGGGGAGCAAACAGGAUUAGAUACCCUGGUAGUCCACGCCAUAAACGAUGGAUGCUAGCCGUUGGUGGGUUUACCCUUCAGUGGCGCAGCUAACGCAUUAAGCAUCCCGCCUGGGGAGUACGGUCGCAAGGUUAAA